AGGACGAACGCUGGCGGCGUGCUUAACACAUGCAAGUCGAACGGUAAGGCCCCUUCGGGGGUACACGAGUGGCGAACGGGUGAGUAACACGUGGGUAAUCUGCCCUGCACUUCGGGAUAAGCCUGGGAAACUGGGUCUAAUACCGGAUAUGAACUCCUGCCGCAUGGUGGGGGUUGGAAAGUUUUUCGGUGCAGGAUGAGCCCGCGGCCUAUCAGCUUGUUGGUGGGGUAAUGGCCUACCAAGGCGACGACGGGUAGCCGGCCUGAGAGGGUGAUCGGCCACACUGGGACUGAGACACGGCCCAGACUCCUACGGGAGGCAGCAGUGGGAAUAUUGCACAAUGGGCGAAAGCCUGAUGCAGCGACGCCGCGUGGGGGAUGACGGUCUUCGGAUUGUAAACCCUUUCAGUAGGGACGAAGCGCAAGUGACGGUACUGCAGAAGAAGCACCGGCUAACUACGUGCCAGCACGCCGC
rnacentral:rRNA from 1 species